rnacentral:rRNA from 2 species
UUAUCGGAGAGUUUGAUCCUGGCUCAGGAUGAACGCUGGCGGCGUGCCUAAUACAUGCAAGUCGUGCGGGGGAAGAUCC